rnacentral:rRNA from 1 species
AAACUGAAGAGUUUGAUCCUGGCUCAGAUUGAACGCUGGCGGCAUGCCUUACACAUGCAAGUCGAACGGCAGCACGGGUGCUUGCACCUGGUGGCGAGUGGCGAACGGGUGAGUAAUACAUCGGAACAUGUCCUGUAGUGGGGGAUAGCCCGGCGAAAGCCGGAUUAAUACCGCAUACGAUCUACGGAUGAAAGCGGGGGACCUUCGGGCCUCGCGCUAUAGGGUUGGCCGAUGGCUGAUUAGCUAGUUGGUGGGGUAAAGGCCUACCAAGGCGACGAUCAGUAGCUGGUCUGAGAGGACGACCAGCCACACUGGGACUGAGACACGGCCCAGACUCCUACGGGAGGCAGCAGUGGGGAAUUUUGGACAAUGGGCGAAAGCCUGAUCCAGCAAUGCCGCGUGUGUGAAGAAGGCCUUCGGGUUGUAAAGCACUUUUGUCCGGAAAGAAAUCCUUGGUUCUAAUAUAGCCGGGGGAUGACGGUACCGGAAGAAUAAGCACCGGCUAACUACGUGCCAGCAGCCGCGGUAAUACGUAGGGUGCGAGCGUUAAUCGGAAUUACUGGGCGUAAAGCGUGCGCAGGCGGUUUGCUAAGACCGAUGUGAAAUCCCCGGGCUCAACCUGGGAACUGCAUUGGUGACUGGCAAGCUAGAGUAUGGCAGAGGGGGGUAGAAUUCCACGUGUAGCAGUGAAAUGCGUAGAGAUGUGGAGGAAUACCGAUGGCGAAGGCAGCCCCCUGGGCCAAUACUGACGCUCAUGCACGAAAGCGUGGGG